AUACGGAGGGUGCAAGCGUUACUCGGAAUCACUGGGCGUAAAGCGCGCGCAGGCGGUCUUUUAAGUUGGAUGUGAAAGCCUACAGCUCAACUGUAGAACUGCAUCCAAAACUAUUAGACUAGAGUCUGGGAGGGGAAGAUGGAAUUAGUUGUGUAGGGGUAAAAUCCGUAGAGAUAACUAGGAAUACCAAAAGCGAAGGCGAUCUUCUGGAACAGUACUGACGCUGAGGCGCGAAAGCGUGGGGAGCAAACAGGAUUAGAAACCCUAGUAGUCC
rnacentral:rRNA from 1 species